GACGAACGCUGGCGGCGUGCUUAACACAUGCAAGUCGAGCGGAGCGGCGAACGGGUGAGUACCGCGUGAGUAACUGCCCACCUCUCUGGGAUAACAGUUGGAAACGGCUGCUAAUACCGGAUAGUGGGGGGGGACGCGCGUCCUAUCAGAUUGUUGUUGGGGUAGUGGCAUACCAAGGCGACGACGGGUAGCCGGCCUGAGAGGGCGACCGGCCACAGUGGGAUGAGACACGGCCGAAACUGCUACGGGAGGCAGCAGUGGGGAAUGUUGCACAAUGGGGGAAACCCUGAUGCAGCAACGCGCGUGCGUGAUGACGGCCUUCGGGUUGUAAACCGCUUUCAGCCAUGACGCGGUAGUGGCAGAAGAAGCACCGGCUAACUACGUGCCAGCAGCCGCGGUAAUUC
rnacentral:rRNA from 1 species